rnacentral:rRNA from 1 species
AGCGAACGCUGGCGGCAGGCCUAACACAUGCAAGUCGAACGAACCUUUCGGGGUUAGUGGCGGACGGGUGAGUAACACGUGGGAAUGUGCCUUUAGGUUCGGAAUAACUCAGGGAAACUUGUGCUAAUACCGAAUGUGCCCUUCGGGGGAAAGAUUAAUCGCCUUUAGAGCGGCCCGCGUCUGAUUAGCUAGUUGGUUGAGGUAAUGGCUCACCAAGGCGACGAUCAGUAGCUGGUCUGAGAGGAUGAUCAGCCACAUUGGGACUGAGACACGGCCCAAACUCCUACGGGAGGCAGCAGUGGGGAAUCUUGCGCAAUGGGCGAAAGCCUGACGCAGCCAUGCCGCGUGAAUGAUGAAGGUCUUAGGAUUGUAAAAUUCUUUCACCGGGGACGAUAAUGACGGUACCCGGAGAAGAAGCCCCGGCUAACUUCGUG